UACGUAGGGCGCAAGCGUUGUCCGGAAUUAUUGGGCGUAAAGAGCUCGUAGGUGGCUGGCCGCGUCUGCCGUGAAAGCCCGCAGCUUAACUGCGGGUCUGCGGUGGAUACGGGCCGGCUAGAGGUAGGUAGGGGCAAGUGGAGUUCCUGGUGUAGCGGUGAAAUGCGUAGAGAUCGGGAGGAACACCAGUGGCGAAGGCGGCUCGCUGGGCCGGACCUGACGCUGAGACGCGAAGGCGUGGGGAGCGAACGGG
rnacentral:rRNA from 1 species